rnacentral:rRNA from 1 species
AGCCAUGCAUGUCUAAGUAUAAGCAAUUAUACAGCGAAACUGCGAAUGGCUCAUUAUAUAAGUUAUCGUUUAUUUGAUAGUACCUUACUACUUGGAUAACCGUGGUAAUUCUAGAGCUAAUACAUGCUAAAAAUCCCGACUUCGGAAGGGAUGUAUUUAUUAGAUUAAAAACCAAUGCCCUCUGGGCUCUCUGGUGAUUCAUGAUAACUUCUCGAAUCGCAUGGCCUUGCGCCGGCGAUGGUUCAUUCAAAUUUCUUCCCUAUCAACUUUCGAUGUUUGGGUAUUGGCCAAACAUGGUUGCAACGGGUAACGGAGGGUUAGGGCUCGACCCCGGAGAAGGAGCCUGAGAAACGGCUACUACAUCCAAGGAAGGCAGCAGGCGCGCAAAUUACCCAAUUCCGACACGGAGAGGUAGUGACAAUAAAUACUGAUACAGGGCUCUUUUGGGUCUUGUAAUCGGAAUGAGUACAAUUUAAAUCCCUUAACGAGGAACAAUUGGAGGGCAAGUUUGGUGCCAGCAGCCGCGGUAAUUCCAGCUCCAAUAGCGUAUAUUAAAGUUGUUGUGGUUAAAAAGCUCGUAGUUGAACCUUGGGCCUGGCUGGCCGGUCCGCCUCACCGCGUGUACUGGUCCGGCCGGGCCUUUCCCUCUGUGGAACCUCAUGCCCUUCACUGGGUGUGGCGGGGAAACAGGACUUUUACUUUGAAAAAAUUAGAGUGCUCUAGGCAGGCCUAUGCUCGAAUACAUUAGCAUGGAAUAAUAGAAUAGGACGUGCGGUUCUAUUUUGUUGGUUUCUAGGACCGCCGUAAUGAUUAAUAGGGACAGUCGGGGGCAUCAGUAU